rnacentral:rRNA from 1 species
UUAUAUGAGAGUUUGAUCCUGGCUCAGGAUGAACGCUGGCGGCGUGCCUAAUACAUGCAAGUCGAACGAGUUCUGAUUAUUGAAAGGUGCUUGCAUCUUGAUUUAAUUUUGAACGAGUGGCGGACGGGUGAGUAACACGUGGGUAACCUGCCCUUAAGUGGGGGAUAACAUUUGGAAACAGAUGCUAAUACCGCAUAAUCCAAGAACCGCAUGGUUCUUGGCUGAAAGAUGGCGUAAGCUAUCGCUUUUGGAUGGACCCGCGGCGUAUUAGCUAGUUGGUGAGGUAACGGCUCACCAAGGCAAUGAUACGUAGCCGAACUGAGAGGUUGAUCGGCCACAUUGGGACUGAGACACGGCCCAAACUCCUACGGGAGGCAGCAGUAGGGAAUCUUCCACAAUGGACGCAAGUCUGAUGGAGCAACGCCGCGUGAGUGAAGAAGGCUUUCGGGUCGUAAAACUCUGUUGUUGGAGAAGAAUGGUCGGCAGAGUAACUGUUGUCGGCGUGACGGUAUCCAACCAGAAAGCCACGGCUAACUACGUGCCAGCAGCCGCGGUAAUACGUAGGUGGCAAGCGUUAUCCGGAUUUAUUGGGCGUAAAGCGAGCGCAGGCGGUUUUUUAAGUCUGAUGUGAAAGCCCUCGGCUUAACCGAGGAAGUGCAUCGGAAACUGGGAAACUUGAGUGCAGAAGAGGACAGUGGAACUCCAUGUGUAGCGGUGAAAUGCGUAGAUAUAUGGAAGAACACCAGUGGCGAAGGCGGCUGUCUGGUCUGUAACUGACGCUGAGGCUCGAAAGCAUGGGUAGCGAACAGGAUUAGAUACCCUGGUAGUCCAUGCCGUAAACGAUGAAUGCUAGGUGUUGGAGGGUUUCCGCCCUUCAGUGCCGCAGCUAACGCAUUAAGCAUUCCGCCUGGGGAGUACGACCGCAAGGUUGAAACUCAAAGGAAUUGACGGGGGCCCGCACAAGCGGUGGAGCAUGUGGUUUAAUUCGAAGCAACGCGAAGAACCUUACCAGGUCUUGACAUCUUUUGAUCACCUGAGAGAUCCGGGUUCCCCCUUCGGGGGCAAAAUGACAGGUGGUGCAUGGUUGUCGUCAGCUCGUGUCGUGAGAUGUUGGGUUAAGUCCCGCAACGAGCGCAACCCUUAUGACUAGUUGCCAGCAUUUAGUUGGGCACUCUAGUAAGACUGCCGGUGACAAACCGGAGGAAGGUGGGGAUGACGUCAAAUCAUCAUGCCCCUUAUGACCUGGGCUACACACGUGCUACAAUGGAUGGUACAACGAGUUGCGAGACCGCGAGGUCAAGCUAAUCUCUUAAAGCCAUUCUCAGUUCGGACUGUAGGCUGCAACUCGCCUACACGAAGUCGGAAUCGCUAGUAAUCGCGGAUCAGCACGCCGCGGUGAAUACGUUCCCGGGCCUUGUACACACCGCCCGUCACACCACGAGAGUUUGUAACACCCGAAGUCGGUGAGGUAACCGUAAGGAGCCAGCCGCCUAAGGUGGGAUAGAUGAUUGGGGUGAAGUCGUAACAAGGUAGCCGUAUCGGAAGGUGCGGCUGGAUCACCUCCUUU